CAACUACUCCCUCUGUCCCAAAUUUCUUGUCUUAGAUUUGGCUAUAUAUGGAUGUAUCUAAUACUAAAAUGUGACUUGAUACAUCCGUAUCUAGACAAAUUAAGACAAGAAUUUUGGGACGGAGGGAGUACUUU
rfam:Triticum urartu cultivar G1812 contig481331, whole genome shotgun sequence.